rnacentral:rRNA from 1 species
UACGAAGGGUGCAAGCGUUAAUCGGAAUUACUGGGCGUAAAGCGUGCGUAGGUGGUUUCUUAAGUCUGCUGUGAAAGCCCUGGGCUCAACCUGGGAAUGGCGGUGGAUACUGAGGAGCUAGAGUGCGGUAGAGGAGGGUGGAAUUCCCGGUGUAGCGGUGAAAUGCGUAGAGAUCGAGAGGAACAUCAGUGGCGAAGGCGGCCCUCUGGACCAGCACUGACGCUGAGGCACGAAAGCGUGGGGAGCAAACAGG